rnacentral:lncRNA from 1 species
UUGGUCUGUUAUAUUAAAAUUUUGUCUUUGGCAAUUCAUAAUUUUUCUAUAACAACUCUUCCUCAACCUCACUAAGCUUUGUCCCAAAGCUUGAAUUUGAAACAUCAUCUGAACUGAUAAAAUAAAAAUAAUAAUUAUAUAUAUAUAUACAUGUAAAAAGAAUAAAAGUAUGAUAAACAUAAUGUAAAAGUUCAUAUAGAGUCAAUGUUUAUAUAUCACAAUCAUGUGAAUGUAGUUUUGUGAUCUAAUGCCCAUAAAAUACUUAAGUUAAAAAAUUAAAAAUACAUAUAUGUAUGGUCAUAAUUGCAGAUAUUCAAUAAGACACUUCCAAAAUUUCAAAGUAUGUAUGUUAAUACACUUGUAACGGGGAGGCACUGAGGUAUUGCUUGUUUGCAAAUAUGCAUUUAAUAAGUAUUACGGUACCAAUUUGCAUAUGAGGAGGAAGAUUAACACUUCACACUAAAAUAUGUGUGUUUUAAAAAUAGUACUGAUGCAGUUUUCCAAUAAUGAAAAAUCAAGUAAACCAGGUGCUUUAGUGCAACAGAAAAGUCAAAGUACCAAUACAUUUU